rnacentral:rRNA from 1 species
AGGAGUUUGAUCCUGGCUCAGGAUGAACGCUGACAGAAUGCUUAACACAUGCAAGUCGACUCGAGUCUUCGGACUUGGGUGGCGCACGGGUGAGUAACGCGUAAAGAACUUGCCUCUUAGACCGGGACAACAUCUGGAAACGGAUGCUAAUACCGGAUAUUAUGGUUUUUUCGCAUGGAGGAAUCAUGAAAGCUAGAUGCGCUAAGAGAGAGCUUUGCGUCCCAUUAGCUGGUUGGUGAGGUAACGGCCCACCAAGGCAAUGAUGGGUAGCCGGCCUGAGAGGGUGAACGGCCACAAGGGGACUGAGACACGGCCCUUACUCCUACGGGAGGCAGCAGUGGGGAAUAUUGGACAAUGGACCACAAGUCUGAUCCAGCAAUUCUGUGUGCACGAUGACGUUUUUCGGAAUGUAAAGUGCUUUCAGUCGGGAAGAAGUCAGUGACGGUACCGACAGAAGAAGCGACGGCUAAAUACGUGCCAGCAGCCGCGGUAAUACGUAUGUCGCAAGCGUUAUCCGGAUUUAUUGGGCGUAAAGCGCGUCUAGGCGGCAAGGAAAGUCUGAUGUGAAAAUGCGGAGCUCAACUCCGUAUGGCGUUGGAAACUGCCUUACUAGAGUACUGGAGAGGUAGGCGGAACUACAAGUGUAGAGGUGAAAUUCGUAGAUAUUUGUAGGAAUGCCGAUGGGGAAGCCAGCCUACUGGACAGAUACUGACGCUAAAGCGCGAAAGCGUGGGUAGCAAACAGGAUUAGAUACCCUGGUAGUCCACGCUGUAAACGAUGAUUACUAGGUGUUGGGGGUCAAACCUCAGCGCCCAAGCUAACGCGAUAAGUAAUCCGCCUGGGGAGUACGUACGCAAGUAUGAAACUCAAAGGAAUUGACGG